CUCGGCAUCAGGACUCAGCUUGCACUGGAGGCCCAGAGUCAGCAAGGGGAAGGAAAUGAGCACUGCACGUUUAGACUAAGAGCACACUCACCAUCCGAGAUACAUCUUGAUGUACUUCUGCCCACAGAGAUACUCAAAAUGCAACACCCCUGUCUCUCCUUCUACACACUUCUAUGUAUACAUAUUGUAUGAUCAAUGUAUGGUUCCCAUACACCAUCAUAAUUUUUAAGGAAGAAGGCUGAGGCUGGUCCAUGAACAUUUUCAGGCCCCCAGACCUUAGCACAACAGACGCCAUGAUGCAAACCCAGCCUUGAAAGCCAGC